rnacentral:rRNA from 1 species
UGGGGAAUAUUGCGCAAUGGGGGCAACCCUGACGCAGCCAUGCCGCGUGAGUGAAGAAGGCCUUCGGGUUGUAAAGCUCUUUCAGGUGUGACGAUGAUGACGGUAACACCAGAAGAAGCCCCGGCUAACUUCGUGCCAGCAGCCGCGGUAAUACGAAGGGGGCUAGCGUUGUUCGGAAUUACUGGGCGUAAAGAGCGCGUAGGCGGCUCAGCCAGUCGGGGGUGAAAGCCCAGGGCUCAACCCUGGAACGGCCUCCGAUACUGUUGAGCUUGAAUCCGUGAGAGGGUGGUGGAAUUCCCAGUGUAGAGGUGAAAUUCGUAGAUAUUGGGAGGAACACCAGUGGCGAAGGCGGCCACCUGGCGCGGUAUUGACGCUGAGGCGCGAAAGCGUGGGGAGCAAACAGGAUUAGAUACCCCCGUAGUCC